rnacentral:rRNA from 1 species
UACGAAGGGGGCUAGCGUUGUUCGGAAUUACUGGGCGUAAAGGGCGCGUAGGCGGCGUGUCAAGUCAGGCGUGAAAGCCCCGGGCUCAACCUGGGAACCGCGCUUGAGACUGGCAUGCUCGAGUUCGGGAGAGGAUGGUGGAAUUCCCAGUGUAGAGGUGAAAUUCGUAGAUAUGGGAAGAACACCGAUGGCGAAGGCAGCCAUCUGGACCGACACUGACGCUGAGGCGCGAAAAGCGUGGGGAGCAAACAGGG